AACUUUUGACGGUGGAUCUCUUGGCUCACGCAUCGAUUAAGAACGCAGCCAGCUGCGAUAAGUAGUGUGAAUUGCAGAAUUCAGUGAAUCAUCGAAUCUUUGAACGCAAAUGGCGCUCUUGGGUUCUCCCAGGAGCAUGUCUGUCUGAGUGUCGGAUUGUCAUCCAUC
rnacentral:rRNA from 1 species